GUUUAUGGCCAUGCUACCCUGAACAAGCCCAAUCCCGUCUGAUCUCAGAAGUUAAGCAGGGACGGGCCUGAUUAGUACUUGGAUGGGAGACCACUAAGGAUGACCAGGUGCUGUAGGAG
rnacentral:rRNA from 1 species